UAUUAGAGAGUUUGAGCAAGACAACGAAGUCGGACGACGACGACGUGGUUGACAAUUUUUGCCUGUCUUGCACAUUACCUUGCACAUUCUGAGUUUAGGGUCAGGAGUGAAGACAGAUUAGAGAUUUAUGCCUAGCUGUUUGUGAAUGGUGACCCAAAUCCUUACCCUGAUCAGGAUAAAACAGCGAGACAUGAAUCCAUAUCCCGUCUUCGUCUUCUGCCUUCGUUCACAACGAAUACUUUCGCAAAUUUCGUUGUGAAACUCGUUCUGCACGAAGGCAGAAGGACAAAGACGGGAUAUAGUUUCAUGUCUCGCUGUUUUUUUUCUGGAUCAGGGCAAGACUUAUGGUCAGUAUUCAUAAACAGCGACACAUGGGAAGAUACGUUGUGCAACCACCAGUGACGUCCAACUCGGUAUGCGCAAGAUAAUGGACAUACGGCAAAAAUUGUCAAGUAUGCCUUCGUCUUCGUACUUCGUUGUCUUGCUCAAACUCUCUAAUUACU